UGUCGUCAGCUCGUGUUGUGAAAUGUUGGGUUAAGUCCCGCAACGAGCGCAACCCUUAUCCUUUGUUGCCAGCGAUUAGGUCGGGAACUCAAAGGAGACUGCCAGUGAUAAACUGGAGGAAGGUGGGGAUGACGUCAAGUCAUCAUGGCCCUUACGACCAGGGCUACACACGUGCUACAAUGGCGCAUACAAAGAGAAGCGACCUCGCGAGAGCAAGCGGACCUCAUAAAGUGCGUCGUAGUCCGGAUUGGAGUCUGCAACUCGACUCCAUGAAGUCGGAAUCGCUAGUAAUCGUGGAUCAGAAUGCCACGGUGAAUACGUUCCCGGGCCUUGUACACACCGCCCGUCACACCAUGGGAGUGGGUUGCAAAAGAAGUAGGUAGCUUAACCUUCGGGAGGGCGCUUACCACUUUGUGAUUCAUGACUGGGGUGAAGUCGUAACAAGGUAACCGUAGGGGAACCUGCGGUUGGAUCACCUCCUU
rnacentral:rRNA from 4 species